CAGUCGCGUGCGACUCGCACGACUCCACUUGAACAAAAGUGGUGCCUGGUUGCCCACGUGACCACGAUAGCCCAGCCCACCUGGCCCACAACCGCUCGUUCCUCUCGUCCUUAUCCAGCACAGACACUUCUCGUCCACUCAUUCACCCCGUUUCUCAUCCCCUACCUCCAGCGAGCGGCCAAAUCAAGCCGCCGGAGAAAUCAACUCUGCUUCCUCCCGCUCCCAUGCUUCCAUGCGCUGCUCCUCAUUCUUGAAUCGAGCCCUCUCGAUUUCUCAUCUCGCCCUGUCUCCUAACUCUGUUCAUCAGCCACGCCGACCGGAAUCCCCUACAAGCGUCGGCGGGCCAGCGCCACCGCACCCAAAACUCCCCACCACGCCGCAACCUGCGCCGGCGGAAGUUGGAACCUCUAUCUCGGCGCGCUGCAACCGGGCGACGAAAGAGUUGCAACGGGGCCAGCGGCUUGUGACGUCGCAUCGAGGAUGCUGGAACCAGCGAUGCCAGGUGCUACCAGAGGUGUUUGGUUUUGCUGGAGCCAAUACUCUUUUUUGCUACCAAAGAUGUUUGGUUUUGCUGGAACCACCGCCAAAUUUGCAAGUUUGCUACCACUGACUUUCUGGUUUGCUGGAACGAGCUUGAUUUUUUGCUACAUCGGUGUUUUCCACUUUUGCUAGGCACAAUUUUCCAGUUUUUAUUUCACAAGUUUUGCUACCACCGUUUUCUUGUUUUGCUGGAUCCAAUGCAUUUUUUUGCUACAAUCGGGUGGAUGGGAGCUGCAUCGUCAGUUUCUGGCUGGAACCGGCAACGCGAAAAGCUGCUACCGGCGAUUUUUGCUUCAAAGGCGAUGGGACCUAGAGAGUUUUUUGCUGGAACCAAUUUUCUUCAUGAGUACGCAGCGGGCCCGGCGAGCGGCGACGGCCAGCCGGUGAGCGGUCCCAGCGAGCCGGCGAGCGGUGGCCACAGAGCUGCAACCGUCGCCACGGGGAGCUGCAACCGUCGCCACGGGAGCUGCAACCGCGUGCUCACGUUGCCGGCGAGAGACGCAUGAGUCAACGGCGGCGACCGGCGGCGAGGGCAGCGACAGGGGAGAGGCGCGGGGAAGUGCUCUGAGGCUGGCGCGUCGUCAUCCAUGACGGCUCGUUGGGAACUUUUUCUAAAUAAAGAAGACGUCCGAGGGAAGGAAGAAGAAAAUCGUACGGCUCUUGGUUAUUUUAUCAUACGGUGCUGGUACGACCGGCCCAAAUUUGGGCUGGUGCGCCGGCGCUUAGCACUCGCCCUUUGUUUAACACCAGAAAGUGCAACAUUAGCCACCGUGGAAAGAGAAUUUAAGGAAGCUGUUUCUUAUUCAUGAACCACAAGUAUGGAUAUCAGAAGGAGGUGAUCUUAGAGUUGUCUAACAGGUCUGCUGUUGAUCAUAAGCCAGCAUAAACUCGAGAUCUGAGAGUAGUUGGGUUUUCGGCAAAUUCCAAUAUUAAAGUUUGUUCAGUUUGGUACUUGCUCAAAUUUUGGUUUCCAGUUAGUAGGGCAGAGACAAAACUAACAAACCAGA